rnacentral:lncRNA from 1 species
GGAUCAUCUGCUGUCAUCUCUGCUAAAUGGCUCUCUGCUCCUUCCUGUCAACUUUUGGUACUCUGCUGAACUGCAGCGUCCAUGAAGUCUUUUCAGAAUAGGAGGCUACGUCUCGGUUCUUUUAAAUCAUCACACCAGGAGCCCAGAAGAAGCAGGGAGACAGAUCUUAGGACUGGAAAGGACAGAAUGAAGAUCACUAGGAAAAUGGUUUAUUUCUCUUUUAACCAUUUGCUGCUACCCCAUUGCUCAGGAGUGAGGAAAACAAGGUUGUAUGAAAUGUGUUCAUGGAUGACUUGUAAUCCCACAUGCUCUAAUGUACUCUAUAUUGUAUACUAACUGGACUAUACUAUAGAAUGGUCUAUGUAUCAAUAGGAAUUUUUUGUAAGUUACAACAAUGAAAUAAAUUUAUGGUCUUGAC